rnacentral:misc_RNA from 1 species
UCAAACUUGGUCAUUUAGAGGAAGUAAAAGUCGUAACAAGGUUUCCGUAGGUGAACCUGCGGAAGGAUCAUUAUUGAAAUAGGUUGAGGGGUUGUUGCUGGCUUUAGUUUUCUGAAGUAAUGUGCACACCCUUCUAACUCUUUCUCUAUCAACCACCUGUGCAUUUUUUGUAGACUUUUAAGGAAUUAUGAGGAUCUGCGCCCCAGCUGUCCUUGCUAAUAUUUCCUUUGGGUCUAUGUGUGUUAUUACCUUUACACCUAUCCUUUGAAUGUAUUUUGUGGGAUUAUAAUAUCAUUAUUAUAUAUACAACUUUCAACAACGGAUCUCUUGGCUCUCGCAUCGAUGAAGAACGCAGC